AUCGCUUCAAAGUGCAGUAUCUGUUUUUAUCAGGUUAAUAUCUGAUACGUCCCUUACAAGGAACUUUGAUAUUAAACCGAUUUUUGGAACUGGGCGGGGCAUAAAAAAACGUUCUUAAUAGUGUUUUUUUUAUUCAAU
rnacentral:snRNA from 1 species